CCUACGGGAGGCAGCAGUGGGGGAUAUUGCACAAUGGGGGGAACCCUGAUGCAGCGACGCCGCGUGGGUGAAGAAGCGCCUCGGCGCGUAAAGCCCUUUCAGCAGGGAAGAAAAUGACGGUAUCUGAAGAAGAAGCCCCGGCUAACUACGUGCCAGCAGCCGCGGUAAUACGUAGGGGGCAAGCGUUAUCCGGAUUUACUGGGUGUAAAGGGGGCGCAGACGGCGAUGCAAGCCAGGAGUGAAAGCCUGGGGCUCAACCCUGGGACUGCAUUUGGAACUGCGUGGCUGGAGUGCAGGAGGGGUAGGCGGAAUUCCUGGUGUAGGGGUGAAAUGCGUAGAUAUCAGGAGGAACAC
rnacentral:rRNA from 1 species